UACAGAGGGUGCGAGCGUUAAUCGGAAUUACUGGGCGUAAAGCGUGCGCAGGCGGCGCGUUAAGACAGGUGUGAAAGCCCCGAGCUUAACUUGGGAAUUGCGCUUGUGACUGGCGUGCUGGAGUGUGGCAGAGGGAGGUGGAAUUCCGCGUGUAGCAGUGAAAUGCGUAGAUAUGUGGAGGAACACCGAUGGCGAAGGCAGCCCCCUGGGUUAACACUGACGCUCAUGCACGAAAGCGUGGGGGAGCAAACAGG
rnacentral:rRNA from 1 species